AGGUAACUCAUACACAGAAUCUUCAGAGGAGCAUCGAGUCUUCAUCUGUGUCUGAGGCUUCAUCCGAGCUUUAGAGAAGAGAAGCAGGGAUUUAGAUUGAACAGCUGGAAUACAGCGAUAAUGCCGUCCACUAAGAAGACCCUGCAUUUCAUCUCCAGCGCGCUGGUUACAGCCAUUGCCGUGGGGCUGUUGGGAUACGGCAUGUCAGCGCAAUGGGCUGUAAUUAAAAUGGACUGUGCAAGAGGUGGAAGCGACCUUUACAAUGGAAGUGCUGACAUCACGUUGGGACUUUUUAACGGGAUACUAACUAGAACCUCUUGUCCUGUCUUUGGAAAUGUAGAUUCCUUCGAAGUGAUUACUGUACUGAUGAAAACCACUGACACUGUCCCAGCGGUCCUGCAAGGUCUGGUUGUGUGCCUGUUGGCCCUGUGUCUGCUGUUUUCUGUCGGUAGCAUCCUUAUCUCCCUGUACAACAGUGUCAGCAACCCUUAUGAGACCUACAUGGGACCCAGUGGAGUCUACGCCUUCAGCUCACUCAGCGCUUGCGGGGGCCUGGUGGCCGUCAUCAUAUUCGCAUUGAACAUGAUCUUGACCACCAUGGCGGAAACGCUGGUGGAGAACUUCUCCCAAAGUAUCCCGUUAGACUUGAGAAAUAAGAGGACAGUGGCAGAUGUUGGACUCUACCUGCUCAUCCCUUACAUCGUGCUGUCUCUCGGUGCCAUCGGCUGCAUCUACGCCUACCAAAGUGCGGCCUACACACAUAAGCGUGAACAGCAGCGGCCCACGGAGGAUGCGCCCAAGGAUAUCAUGAUGUUUUAGUGUGAUGGAGUCAGUUUUCAGUGACACCCAUAAACUGCUCAUCCAGACUUUCUGAAGAAACUUACUGCAAUGGGACAUGUCAAAUUAUGAGCAAUGCUUGUAUCAUUUCAGCAUUUCAAUCAACUCUGAUAUGAAGGCAAAAUACAGUAAAUUCAUUAGUGCAGAAAUCAGUUUUGGUUUGUAUCUCUUCGACAUGAAAUUACAUUAUUUUUUCUGUGCAUUGAACAAUGCAUUUGAUACAAUAAAAGUUGUUAUGAAAUGCUACUCAGUUCAAAACAUGUCUGACAAAUCAGCAGUUGCAUGGAAAUUCAAGGACUUCAUUCUGUUUUCUGUGUCUGAAAUAGUUACAAUACAGCCAACUUUGAUCUGUUUUCUUGUAAUUUAAUGUCAUAGAUUUAUUGCAGUAAUGCUAUAUUCUUGUAUAAAACAUAUGUAAAUGGUCCGUGUAUAUUUUGGGUCUGUGUAUAUUGUGGCAAUUGGAUUUUCCGUUCUGAAACGUGUAUUGAAAAAAAAAGGAGUGGUUAUUUGAUUUUCGUUUUAGAAUACAAAAAUUAAAAUUGAAAUACAAGGCAUUUUUCCUUUUCAUGAUCAAACAGGGAUAUACACAAUUUUAAAAAUGCUUUGAUUUUCAUUUUAUAUUUAGAAUAACAAAAAAUAAAAUCAGUAAGAGACAGAAAAGAAAAAAGGUUCGUUUUUUUCUUUUUCUGAGCCCGGAAGUGGUCAUCAGGUGUGGAGCCAAACGACAACAAGAUUCUUAGAGGGCGGAGCCAGAGAGCAGUGAUUGGUCAGACUGACUGAGAGCCAGAGAGCAGUGAUUGGUCAGACCAUAGAUGUAUCUAGAAGACAGCGCGCUAGCGCAUCUAGUCUGCUAUAUAUAUCUAUGAUUGGAAUGUCUGGUAGCAUCUCUGGCUGCUGUUGACCUUGUUUUUGGAGUAAAACACGGUGGAAGCUGAAUUAGUGAGGAUGACUCCUGCUCCUGUCAUCUCUAAGCUCCUCACACAUCUUUACCUGCACAUGAGGAAAAUCACUCCUGUAGAAUGCAGUAGUUCAUCAGAACCUCUGGGGAUCCUGUGGAUUCUGUGGAUCCUGUGGGUUGCAGGGUGGGUCCUACCUAGACCAGGCUGAUCCUGGACCAUCCCACAGAUGCUCCAUCAGAUGUGGAUGUGGGGAGUGUGGAACCCAGAUGUUCAGAGGGAGAUGAUGCCACAUCUGGUCCAGCUGAUGGAAGGUCUUGAAGUUCUCUGACUGGCCUGGACUGAAGAUGGUCGUCUCACUGGAUUUAAGGUUCAGAUGCUCAGUAACAAACUCCACCAAUUAGCCAACAGGGAAGUUUUAGGUUCAUUAAAUGUUGCUAUGAAGGUUUCACUGUUUUUCUUUGUGAAUGCAAUGAGCUCCAACUGAAACUUGAAUUAGAACUUAGAAGUAAAUCCUUCCAUCUGAAAGGAUUUAGUUGCAUUAAUAACCUCAUAACAUUCUAAUUCUUAUUCCAGUCUUGGUUGGAAAUAGAAUCUCUGUAUUGAUUCAGGUAAAAACUGAACUUCACAGCAUGUUGGAGCAAAACAACCAGAUGAAAACUGUGAUGGUGUUGGAUUGUCAGACUGUAAUGUUGCAGCUCAAAGCAGCUUUUCCAUCUCAGUUCAUUCUGACAUUCAGCUAUGAAUCAACACAGCAGAUGGUGAUCCAUGCUGUGGAAGUCUCACAUCUCCUGAUUUAAUGGAGCUGCUUUGCACUUUUUACACAGUUUAUUCACCAACACUUUAUUUAAUAAAAGUCCCAUCUAGUUUUUAUGAGGAAUGUGAUGUUUUAAUUUCUCUGUGAAUAACUGCAGUCUAAUGGAACAGCUGGAGUUGUAACAUCUGUCCUGAUAUUGAUCAUGAAGUAUUGAUCAGAAUACUUAUGGUCAGCAGUCAUCCCUGAAGUUUUACAUUAAAAUCUUUACUUGUGUUGUGAACUUUGGUAAGAAGCAGAAACUUUAGCGUUGCCAUGGAUACAUGAGUGUUAAAUUCUGUCCAUGUUUCCAUUUUGGGAAAUUCAGUCCAGCAGAUGAGUUUGUUUUUACUGCCAGCUACCAUUCAGUCUGAGAUAUUAAGAAUAAAUAAAUAAAUAAAUGUGCAUAAUGUGGAAAUGAACAGAUUUUAUUUUUAUUUAUUCCUACAGCAUGUAAAGUUCCAGAAUGUGGAGGAAUUUAGUCUCACAAUCACAGACAAUAAAUAUUAUCUGAAAGUCGGGUUAUUAUUGUUUAUCAGCACAAUACAAAAAGAUUCAUGUUAGAAAUAUUCCAGUUAAGACUCUUAAAUAUCAUGAUUUAUGUAAAUUUACCUCAAUAAUAUGAAUGUUCAGGUUAAGAUUGUGCAGUGAUAUUUAUUAUGUAAGUUUAGCUGAUUAAAGUUUAUGACUCUGCACUACAAUAUUUAUUAUUUAAAUUUACAUCAUUAUUAUAAUAUUUAGGCUCAGACCCUACAGUAUUGAGAUUAAGAAAUCAAAUAUUCUAUAAAAUGUAAAUACACUGAACUCAUUUGGAUAUAUUUAAGUGAGACUCUACAAUAUUAUUUGACACAAAUCUAUCUAAAUCAAAAUUUUAAUCAUUUUUACUCCAAACAUUUACUGGACUAAUUUAAAUAUUAAAAUCACUCCUUUCUAAUCCUCUGCUGUACUUUCAAACCUGAGGCCUUAAACAGAAACACACAAGUAUCUGAUUGAAGGAACUUCUGCAGAGUCCUGGUUCCAGAACAUGAUGAUAGAAUUAUAGACAAACUUUAACAAAAGCUGCUUGAGAGUUUACAGGUUUUUAUCUUAGAUUUCUUCAGUAAUUUAAUGAGAGUUAUCAGCAAAAAUCAGGUGUUCAUUUGAUGAACUUCAUUUCCUAAAACAUCCAGAAUUGGAGCGCAUAUCUUUGGCAGCUGUAAAGUUUCUGCUCCUUCAAAGUUCACAACACAAUGAAUGAAUUCCUAAAACACUCUCAAUGCUGGAGAGCGUUUGUGAUGCUGAAGCAGUGACCAGUUUUUCUGUUUCUUUUCUGGAGAUGCACAAUGAGGGACGUCUGCAGCGACUGAGAAAGAGUCUCACCACAUCCUGACAUGAGGAAAAAGACUUUAUUGAAGACUACAAUGAGAAAAACUAUCAGACAGCAGACGGCUGCAUUCAAGUCUGUAGCUGCUGAAUUCAUGGAUGAAUCAUCUGGCACUAGAGAGGAAGACCAUCAAACAUCCACGUCAGCUGAUGGAGGUCCAAGAGUCUCACCCAACAAACAACCUACAGAGUGAAGACCUCCAAUCUGAUUGGACGGCCUCCUAUUCAGCCACAUGUGUGAACAAAUGCCUCUAAGCUGAUUUGUUUUCUAAAAUAAAUCUAGUUUGAGUCCUAA